rnacentral:tRNA from 1 species
GCGCCUGUAGCUCAACUGGAUGAGAGCAUCUGGCUUCGGACCAGAGGGUUGGGAGUUCAAAUCUCCCCAGGCGCG